AUAGUCGCGGGAGUCGUCGGUUCCCGUGAUGCGCACGGGACGCAAGACGGGAACGCGGUGGGACGGAAACCUUCCUUCAAGGUCGAUGUCGAAUCCGCGGCUGCCCCCGCAACUGUGAGCGGCGAGCCCUCCUCCAUCAGCCACUGGCGCAAGCCGGGAAGGCGGGGAAGGGCCGAGACCCGCGAGCCAGGAGACCGGCCGGCGACACAACCGCAGC
rnacentral:ncRNA from 2 species